rnacentral:rRNA from 1 species
GACGAACGCUGGCGGCGUGCUUAACACAUGCAAGUCGAACGGAAAGGCCCUGCUUUUGUGGGGUGCUCGAGUGGCGAACGGGUGAGUAAAACGUGAGUAACCUGCCCUUGACUUUGGGAUAACUUCAGGAAACUGGGGCUAAUACCGGAUAGGAGCUCCUGCUGCAUGGUGGGGGUUGGAAAGUUUCGGCGGUUGGGGAUGGACUCGCGGCUUAUCAGCUUGUUGGUGGGGUAGUGGCUUACCAAGGCUUUGACGGGUAGCCGGCCUGGGAGGGUGACCGGCCACAUUGGGACUGAGAUACGGCCCAGACUCCUACGGGAGGCAGCAGUGGGGAAUAUUGCACAAUGGGCGGAAGCCUGAUGCAGCAACGCCGCGUGCGGGAUGACGGCCUUCGGGUUGUAAACCGCUUUCGCCUGUGACGAAGCGUGAGUGACGGUAAUGGGUAAAGAAGCACCGGCUAACUACGUG